rnacentral:lncRNA from 1 species
GUCGGGACUCACAAUAGAGGGACUGAAUCACAUGUUAACUAUACCUAGAGGUUCAUUUCAGUUCUAUUGGACUGCCACUAUAUACUGCUAGGUAUCACUGAUGGAUUGUGAGAGCUCACUAGGAUUAUUCUGGAUCGACAAUCCUUGAUGAGUUAGAAUAAAAUUGUUCCAAUCUAUUGAAAAAAGUUUCAAUGAUAUUUUGAUAGAGAUCAU